rnacentral:lncRNA from 1 species
GGAUUGCUUUGGAAACACAAAUAGGGUUGGUUUAGUGCUCUGCAAAUGUCCCAUUUUUUAAACAUUCUUUCUGGAAUAAUAUGGAAAGAAAUUAUACAUUAUACCAAGACAAGCUAUUUUAGAUUUCAACUAUAUUAUUUUUGGUUUUGAUUUUUAGGAUCAACUUCAGUACCUACAACAGUACCUUCUGUGCCCACUGACCAAAAGCAGCCCCUACCCACAAUGAACACAGCACCAGCCCAUCUGCCAAAGGACCUCAGAAGAACCACAGCAGUCCAUCCUUCUGUAAAAGGCCCACCAGCCACAGAUCUGAUAGCAGAUCCUGAAGGAACCCUGUGAUCCGGAUCUAGCCCCACUCUACCACUGGUCAGGAGUCAGUCCUGCCUGCACAGGGACCCAAGAGAAGCCACGCCCAUCUGUACUGCCAGUAACAGGCUUGCUGACCUCAGUCCGGACUGUGGAUCCUGAAGCAGUCCUGUGGCCCAGAUGAAGCCCUGCUCUCAGUCUUCCCUUUCCAGAGACCCAGUAACUCCCAUUGAUGCCCUGGUAUCAAGCUUGCCACCCGCAGUUCCACUUGUGGACCCUGAAGUCACUCCCAGCUGUGGACUCUGAAACAGCCCUGAGACUCAGUUCCAGCCCCAUUCUGCCACAGUCCAGGGGAAGACCUGCCCAACCAGAGAACCUACAGGUGACACAUCCACCCAAACCCUUGUUGCAGGCCAGUUGACCUUGGUCCUGACUACGGACCCUGAAGCAGCCCUGUGGCCUAGCC